UCCGGUUUAUCACCGGCAGUCUCCCUUGAGUUCCCACCAUCACGUGCUGGCAACAAAGGAUAAGGGUUGCGCUCGUUGCGGGACUUAACCCAACAUUUCACAACACGAGCUGACGACAGCCAUGCAGCACCUGUCUCUCAGUUCCCGAAGGCACUUCGCUGUCUCCAGCAAAUUCUGAGGAUGUCAAGAGUAGGUAAGGUUCUUCGCGUUGCAUCGAAUUAAACCACAUGCUCCACCGCUUGUGCGGGCCCCCGUCAAUUCAUUUGAGUUUUAACCUUGCGGCCGUACUCCCCAGGCGGUCGAUUUAACGCGUUAGCUCCGGAAGCCACGCCUCAAGGGCACAACCUCCAAAUCGACAUCGUUUACAGCGUGGACUAC
rnacentral:misc_RNA from 1 species